CAGUCGCCGCGGGAAUACGUAGGGUCCAAGCGUUAAUCGGAAUUACUGGGCGUAAAGCGUGCGCAGGCGGUUGUGCAAGACCGAUGUGAAAUCCCCGGGCUUAACCUGGGAAUUGCAUUGGUGACUGCACGGCUAGAGUGUGUCAGAGGGGGGUAGAAUUCCACGUGUAGCAGUGAAAUGCGUAGAGAUGUGGAGGAAUACCGAUGGCGAAGGCAGCCCCCUGGGAUAACACUGACGCUCAUGCACGAAAGCGUGGGGAGCAAACAGGAUUAGAUACCCCGGUAGUCCCUGUCUCUUAUAC
rnacentral:rRNA from 1 species